rnacentral:rRNA from 1 species
UACGUAGGGUGCAAGCGUUAAUCGGAAUUACUGGGCGUAAAGCGUGCGCAGGCGGUUGUGCAAGACAGAUGUGAAAUCCCCGGGCUUAACCUGGGAAUUGCAUUUGUGACUGCACGGCUAGAGUGUGUCAGAGGGGGGUAGAAUUCCACGUGUAGCAGUGAAAUGCGUAGAUAUGUGGAGGAAUACCGAUGGCGAAGGCAGCCCCCUGGGUGGUCGCUGACGCUGAGAGGCGAAAGCCAGGGGAGCGAACGGG